rnacentral:misc_RNA from 1 species
CAACCCACACAUCCUUGUGAUGCUUGUGAGGCUUGGACUUGGAGGCUUGCUGGCCCAUCGCGGUCGGCUCCUCUUGAAUGCAUUAGCUUGGUUCCUUGCGGAUCGGCUCUCAGUGUGAUAAUUGUCUACGCUGUGACCGUGAAGCGUUUGGCGAGCUUCUAA